UACGUAGGGAGCAAGCGUUGUCCGGAAUCAUUGGGCGUAAAGCGCGCGUAGGUGGCCUCAUAAGUCCGCUGUGAAAGUCAAAGGCUCAACCUUUGAAAGCCGGUGGAUACUGUGAGGCUAGAGUACGGAAGAGGCGAGUGGAAUUCCUGGUGUAGCGGUGGAAUGCGCAGAUAUCAGGAGGAACACCGGUGGCGAAGGCGGGUCUCUGGGCCGAUACUGACACUGAGGAGCGAAAGCGUGGGGAGCGAACAGG
rnacentral:rRNA from 1 species